UACGUAGGGUGCAAGCGUUAAUCGGAAUUACUGGGCGUAAAGCGUGCGCAGGCGGUUGGAUAAGCCAGAUGUGAAAUCCCCGAGCUCAACUUGGGAACUGCGUUUGGAACUGUCCGGCUAGAGUGCGUCAGAGGGGGGUGGAAUUCCGCGUGUAGCAGUGAAAUGCGUAGAGAUGCGGAGGAACACCGAUGGCGAAGGCAGCCCCCUGGGAUGACACUGACGCUCAUGCACGAAAGCGUGGGGAGCAAACAGG
rnacentral:rRNA from 1 species